CCCUAGCGCCGCUACGCAUCAUCUUCCGCAAAUCCAAAAAUCUUCUUCAGCAAAUCGACAAUGAUUUCGAUCCAUGGAUUCAAGCAGCAAACAUCAAACAUCCAUUUUACAUCUUCAAGAUCUAGGGUUUCGUGUUCAAGUUGCUAUAUCUGAUACCUGUAUGGUCUCAGUUAAUAACGAUGGUUCAAGGAAGGAUGAAGGUGUUAAUGUUUUCAAUUCU